rnacentral:rRNA from 1 species
UACGAGAGGCCCAAACGUUAUUCGGAUUUACUGGGCUUAAAGAGUUCGUAGGCGGCACGGCAAGUAGGGUGUGAAAGCCCUCGGCUCAACCGAGGAAUUGCGCUCUAAACUGUCGUGCUUGAGGAACCUAGAGGUGAGCAGAACUGAUGGUGGAGCGGUGAAAUGCGUUGAUAUCAUCAGGAAUACCGGAGGCGAAGGCGGCUCACUGGGGGUUUUCUGACGCUGAGGAACGAAAGCCAGGGGAGCGAACGGG